GGCAAAGCAACUACUUGCAAUUGAGGCAGAUGCUGAAAGAGGUGAACAGGUGGAAGCUGCCUGCAGACUGCAUUGUUUGUGACUCAUCAGUCAAUCCUAGGGCAGGAUGUAAAAAAGAAAAAAAAAAAGCCUGAAAACAAAUUAUCUGAAAGUGGGAUUAAUAUCACACUACAUUGGGAGCUAGGAGAGGUUUUGGCCUAACCCUGUCAGAGAGAUCGGCUGCUUUAGAAGUUGAAGAGGCAGAGAAAACUGGCACAUGACCUCGCACCAGGCCAGAAUUUGAAAGCUCUAUUUCCAGGACGAGUCAAACCUAGCUUCAGAAAACAAGGCUACCUGUCACAAAGUAUGCCAAGCAAAAGCCAAAGUAGAAGAAACUUUAAAUCUAACCCCAAAAAUUUUCCAAUGCCUAAUAUGAAAAUGGCAGUUCAUUCUCUUGAAGAUAUGCAUUAUCAGAAUAAUGCAACUGGGUAACCAUUCUUUAAAGAG